rnacentral:rRNA from 1 species
UACGUAGGGUGCGAGCGUUGUCCGGAAUUAUUGGGCGUAAAGAGCUCGUAGGCGGUGUGUCGCGUCGGCCGUGAAAACCUGCAGCUUAACUGUGGGCUUGCGGUCGAUACGGGCAUCACUGGAGUUCGGCAGGGGAGACUGGAAUUCCUGGUGUAGCGGUGAAAUGCGCAGAUAUCAGGAGGACCACCGGUGGCGAAGGCGGGUCUCUGGGCCGAUACUGACGCUGAGGAGCGAAAGCGUGGGGAGCGAACAGG